rnacentral:rRNA from 1 species
CAAGUCGUGGGGCAGCAUGACUGUAGCAAUACAGUUGAUGGCGACCGGCAAACGGGUGCGGAACACGUACACAACCUUCCUUCGAGUGGGGAAUAGCCCGGGGAAACCCGGAUUAAUACCCCGUAACAUAAUGGAGUGGCAUCACUUUAUUAUUAUAGCUCCGGCGCUUGAAGAUGGGUGUGCGACUGAUUAGGCAGUUGGCGGGGUAACGGCCCACCAAACCUACGAUCAGUAACUGGUGUGAGAGCACGACCAGUCACACGGGCACUGAGACACGGGCCCGACUCCUACGGGAGGCAGCAGUAAGGAAUAUUGGUCAAUGGACGCAAGUCUGAACCAGCCAUGCCGCGUGGAGGAUGAAGGCCCUCUGGGUUGUAAACUUCUUUUAUCUGGGACGAAAAAGGGACUUUCUAGUUCAACUGACGGUACCAGAGGAAUAAGCACCGGCUAACUCCGUGCCAGCAGCCGCGGUAAUACGGAGGGUGCAAGCGUUAUCCGGAUUCACUGGGUUUAAAGGGUGCGUAGGUGGGUUGGUAAGUCAGUGGUGAAAUCUCCAGGCUUAACUUGGAAACUGCCAUUGAUACUAUUAAUCUUGAAUACCGUGGAGGUCAGCGGAAUAUGUCAUGUAGCGGUGAAAUGCUUAGAUAUGACAUAGAACACCAAUUGCGAAGGCAGCUGGCUACACGAAUAUUGACACUGAUGCACGAAAGCGUGGGGAUCAAACAGGAUUAGAUACCCUGGUAGUCCACGCCCUAAACGAUGGAUACUCGACAUACGCGAUAUACUGUGUGUGUCUGAGCGAAAGCAUUAGUUAUCCCACCUGGGAAGUACGAUCGCAAGAUUGAAA